rnacentral:tRNA from 1 species
UCCCCUGUAGUUCAAUGGUAGAACGGCGCGCUGUUAACGCGUAGGUUCUUGGUUCGAAUCCAAGCGGGGGAG